rnacentral:ncRNA from 1 species
UGUUGCCAAGGGCAAACCCGCUGAAAGGCGGGGACGCAAAGCCACCGGUCUACGGGAUAUUCCUACGAUAGCGGGGUUGCCAAA